AAAACUGUGUUGAAAAAGAGGAGUAUCUAUGUAAUAUUUUUCAGAGAGCAUUGUGAAGUGGUGAAAGCAGUGUAAUAGAGCAUAGAGAAUGGCACUUUGGAGCAGAAAGUGAUAAAAGAGGGCUGAAUUUUAUUUAGCCAAAAAGGGUGGAACCGCGGAAGGAAUACUUUCGUCCCUUAC
rnacentral:ncRNA from 1 species